GGAUUAAUAGCUCAGUGGUUAGAGCUACUGGUAUAUAUGUCCAGGAGGUUCUGGGUUCAAUCCCCAGUUGAUCCA